GACGUAGGGCGCGAGCGUUGUCCGGAUUUAUUGGGCGUAAAGAGCUCGUAGGCGGCUUGUCGCGUCGACUGUGAAAUCCCGCGGCUCAACUGCGGGUCUGCAGUCGAUACGGGCAGGCUAGAGUUCGGUAGGGGAGACUGGAAUUCCUGGUGUAGCGGUGAAAUGCGUAGAUAUCGUAAGGAAGACCAGUGGCGAAGGCGGGUCUCUGGACAGUUCCUGACGCUGAAGCACGAAGGCCAGGGGAGCAAACGGG
rnacentral:rRNA from 1 species